UUCCCAGAGACCCCAGCAGCCAAUCUCAUUCCUCAGACUGUGCUGCAUUCGGCUCUCUCUAGGACCCAGCAGCCCUGCUUCUACACUGUCUGGGCUGCCUGCAGGGUGGUGCCCCCAGGGAGAAUGAGGCCCUACGCGGCUGCCUAUUCUGCCUAUGCCUAAGGACGGCUCUGAAUUCGGAAGAAGGUGAAAGGAUGAGCAACUGGAACCUCAGUGGGGAGGCACCGAGCAGUUGGAGCCUCUGGGUAGGGGAUGAGAGAGCUGAAAAAACAGAACUAGCCAAUCUCCUGGUGCCCCAAACAAAACUAGACCCUGCUGUUCCCAUAGGAGAUGGAUGGGAGAUUUUUUGCACAGAGCUCUGGCUGAGACAAGGUCAGAUGGAAGCAUCAGACCACAGAGCUCCUAUCCUGUCGCCUAGCUCCCUCUACUUGGAUGGGCAAGAAUGAACUUUGGACCAUCUCCCUUCCAGUCUGCUGAACACUACUGGGGAGAGAGAAAUAGCUCUUGGUGCUUCUCUAUGGGGGCAAAUAGUCCCUACUUGAUACAUUCCUUUAUGGGGAGUGAGGAACCCCUCUGGGAAAUGAGGAGAGGGAUUUGAGAACUGGAGCUCUGGUCACAUUCUCCCAGCAGCUGGUCUGUCUGUGAUCCUGGCAAUGGGAUGUUCCUGGUGUGUCUGUGCUGGGGGCUGAUAUGGGGCUGAUUUUGAUGAGUGGCUGUGUGGAAGUUGCUGGUGCAUAGCUGUGUGGCUCCAAUACACUGGCAGUACAGCUAUGGUGCAGGCACAGGGGUGUCUUCACACAGCUGCUUACAGGUAGGCAUGAGGGUGCAGGGCAGAGAGAGAAUAUAAUGGUGAUAGGGGGGUGACAUGGAAAGAGAAGAGAUGGAGUUUGGAAAUGGGGACAGAAAUUAUGUGGUGGAAUUAGCUGGGCCCUCUUCACAUAUUUGCUUUUGGUCCAAUAUCAAAAUUACCACUCUUUUGAGAUUGGACUAUUGAUUCCAAUUCAGCUUCCAGUUUCUCCCUGCCAAGGGUGCUGGAACGAUUUUUAUAGUGGGGUAGCUGAGAGUCAUUGAGCCAAACUAAACUCUGUAUAUAAGGGAACUCACUUCAAGCCAGGUGGUGUGGCAGCACCCCCCAAUCCCUAAUUCCAGCAUGUAUGCUCCCUGUACUUGUAAUUCCUUUUUCAGUCUUUUGUAGCGUAAUGUGCACUCAUUUCAUAGCAAUAUCAAAAUAAUUCAGUAGAACAGCACGUUGAUAUCCUAUAGUGAGAGAGAGAAAAACACUCCGCAGACAAAAGAUUCCUCCUAGAAUACAACACUUCACCAGUUUGCAAUUACUCCCAUUUUCCCUAGCCUUCUGAUUAUCACGUUGGAUUUUGUGUAAACAACAUCACACAGUCAGUGCAGGACCAAUUCAAACUUCCAGCUUUGUCUGAAACCGUAAAACCUCCUGUAGCUGUUGACAUCAAUGCAGCUGAACAUGUCCAGUUUUAGAAAAUCCGGUGUCAGACACAGCUCUGAAAGAUUGACUUGUGCCAUGAAAGAGGUCAUGCUGCCUCCACCCCCAACUAGAAGUCACAGAGUUUCUCCUCUAUAGACUUCAAUUAACAGCUUCUGUUUGUCCUAUGGGCCGUAACAUUUAGAUCACUGCUUCAAACGUCCUUGGAACAAGGUGGUGAUGGGAACUUGAGGAAAGAAAAUAUGUUAAGAAAGCAUGGUGAUGACCAUAUCUCACCCCAGCAGCUGCCAGUGCUAUGGAGAAAUUGUGUCACAGGCACAGGACUAGCCUUUCUAAGGCAAACAAGGGUAUGUCUACAUUACCCACCGGAUCGGCAAGUAGUGAUCGAUCUAUUGGGGAUCGAUGUAUUGUGUCACGUCUAGACACGAUACAUAGAUCCCCAAAUGCGUUCCCUGUCGACUCCGGAACUCCACCAGGGCGAGAGGCGGAAGUGGAGUUGACGAGCGAGCGGCGGCCGUUGAUCUCGUGCAGUGAUGAUGCAAAGUAAGUCAACCUAAGAUACAUUGACUUCAGCUAUGCUAUUCUCAUAGCUGAAGUUGUGUGUCUUAGAUCGAUCCCCCCCAGUGUAGACCAGGCCCAAGAGGACCAUGAGAGGGCAUGUGCCACCGGGUGUUACUGCUGUAGUAGUGCUUGAGCAGGGAAGUGAUGGGAGCCAGCUUUCCUGACUCUAGUGGCAGCAUGUUGAUACAUGAGAAUGAAUCAUAGAAUAUCAGGGUUGGAAGGGACCUCAGGAGGUCAUCUAGUCCAACCCCCUGCUCAAAGCAGGACCAAUCCCCAACUAAAACCCCAAAUGGCCUCUUCAAGGAUUGAACUCACAACCCUGAGUUUAGCAGACCAAUGCUCAAACCACUGAGCUAUCCCUGACCCCCAAGAUGCCUCCUCUCAGAAGGAAGAGACCCUCUCCACAGUUUGAGGUGACAAAGAUACCCACAGAAAGCAGAUCCCCUAAUUGAGACCUCACAGUUCAGAUAAAUCCCGCUUACUGAUCAUCUCCCUCUUUACACUCUCUCUUUUAGUAGCUCAUUUCUUUCUUCCUUCCCAAGCUUGCUGGCCAGAGAUGGACCAGCGAAGGAUCCUGGGAAUGCUGAAAGCAUCCUGGUCUAUCUGAUAAAUGGCCUGUAUUUUCACCUGGCCUGACUGAAGAGAUCAGGGGCCACUUGAAGGUACGCUAUCUCACGAACCUCCAUUGAUAGUACAGUACUAAUUCUAUACUACAGGAUUUUAGAGGUAUGUUUUAUGUUACACCUACUAGCUGCUUUCCCUGAUACAAACUGACUCUCCCUUCCCCCGCCUAUAUAAAAUUACACCAGCCUAAACUAAUGUACAUGGAAUUACUAAUGAUGAAUAGAGCUGGUCAAAAUAUGGGACAAUUUUGUGCCUCCCCAUUUUGGGGUAUGUGUGUCAAAGUUUUGAUGAAACAGACAGUCAACAUUUUGGAUUUGUAUAUUUUUCUAUCAGGUCUAAUGAUGAAUAACUUACACUAGCACUUAAAUCUCCUCUGAAUUUGGUCCACAUUGAAAAAUGUAGCAUUCAGGUAAUUUUCUGUCACUGUUCCAUUUACCUGUAACAAACCCCUGUGGCUGGAGGGGCCAGACUUUUGGUUGCAGUUCAGCUCCUUUUGUCCUGCUGGAGUGGCACAAAGAGGUUGGAAAUCAGACAAAUCUGACCAGCUGAGAAUUCCCCCAGCUCAGAGGAGCUCUGCCUAUGCUCAUCUGGCCUAUGGGUCCCUAAAGGCCUGUAAACCAGCUGGCAUAUGUAAGAGCAGUACUUCUGCUGCUCUAAUCUAUGCUCUAGAUCAGGGCAGCACACUUCCACCCUGAUAUUCAAGAAAUUCAUUUCAAUGCAGGGAUUCUUCUAUCCUCACAGGGCUUUUCUCUCCCUUUUCUUGUGUUACUCUGGAAACAAUGGACCCUGGAUUUUAUUCAGUGUGUUGAGUGGAGCUCUCAGAAGAUCCCCCUGAAAUCCAUCUUCUCCUCUUCCUUAUCUAAAAUAUAAACACUGAUUCAUGAAAAAAGACUUGCACCCACGCUUAACUUUAUGCACUGUGAGUAAUCCUACUGAUUUCAAUGGGACUACUCACAGGCUAUGUGUACAUUGCAGCUGGGAGCGUGCUUCCCAGCUGCAGCCUGGGUGGACAGACCUGGGCUAGUUCCACUCUCAAGCUAGCACACUAAAAAUAGCAGUGUGGGGCAGCUCAAGCUAACAAACCUGCCCAAUCCUCUGGUACCUACAUGAGUGGCUAGUCCACGCCACCGCCCACACCCCCGUGGCCACACUGCUAUUUUUAGAGUGCUGGCUGAAGCAGAGCUAGCAUGUGUCUGUCUACCCAUGCUCCCAGAUGUCGUGGGGACAUACCCAGGGUGUAAGGUCAAGCAUGGGCGUAAGUGCUUGCAGAUUUGGAGCUGUAUUUUUCUCCUAAACGUGUUUUUAGUAUGAUUACUGCAGGUUCUUGUUCAUCACCCUCCCUUCUUCCUUUUGUUCUAAGCUGGUCCCUCUCUGCCCUUUUGUUAUUACUGCUAUAUAAAGUGUUGUAAAGGCUGGAUUAUGUUUUAUCAGUAUUAUGUUCUUAUAUUUUAGAAUGUUUUCAUCAUAUUUUGCUUGCAUAAUACUUGAAGCCUGUUAGCACAGCAGAGGUGGGUUUAAAGCCAAAAAGAGUUUUUAAAACUCUAAAUAAGGAAAAAAAUGUUUCCCUUUUUCCUCUUUGUAGCCCAAGUACUUUUCAUGCUAGUGUGUGCAUGUGCAUCAGAGUGCAAAGAAAAUUGGGGGGAAAAAGAGAGAGAGAGAGAGAUGGUUAACAUUGCAGGGAAAUGACCCCAAAGUUGUACCCUACUGUUCAGUUCUCAGCUGGCCCUUCUGAUGUUGUUUAGUAGCUAUUUAAAGCCAAUUACUAAUCCAUUAUUAGUUUGUGCGAAGCAGCUUGAGAGACAGAACUGUUUUUUCAAUCUGCGAGCUAGAUCCCCAUCUAAAACACUGUGACUGUCAUCAUGAAAACCAGCCACAUCUCAUGUGUGCACAAAUUCAGAGAGUAACAAAAGGAUGGGGUGGUUUGUAGAAACAAGUUAGCUUAAGGAUAUAAUACAAGUCUGUGUUUCUUUACAUGUGUGUGCAUUCCUAUACAGCACAUGGGCCAAACUCUUCUCUCAAGUACAAUACAGGAACUCUGUGGGAGAGUUUAACUGUCUAUAUUCAUCAUAACAUGAACUUUUAUGAUCUUAGUUACAAAUUAGGAUCAAGACUAAAGAUCUGCUUGCUUUCACUGAGAAGGCAAAUGUGCGAAAAUACUUCAGCCAUGUCAAUUUUCAUUUGAAAACAGGACAAACAUCACAGUAAUAAUUAGCAGUGGUCACAGAGGCAUCCAUUGUUUGUGCCAGUGAACAUUUCUUAGUGCAAGUUCUACGGUUUGUAAAGGAAAAUAAAAUUCUGUAGUGAGUCUGCUUAGAGGACAAAGGUUCAAAAGUUGAUUCUUUUAUGCUGCAAUUUACACAGCUUCUGUGCCACCCCAUUAUAAUGCCCAUUGUGUCCCUUAGAUAAAAGGCAGUUUAAAUCUAUGUUACUUUCUGUAAUUGCCACACCCUCCCCCCCAUCCAUAGUUUUAAAAAUGUAUCCUUCUGUGUUCUGUGAACAAGGGGACCUCUCCAAAAUGAUUGUGUUCUUACAGAAGGUACAAUGCAGACUUGGACAUUUCCCCUGAGUAUUAGUAAGAAACCAAUGAUUUCCAGAGAUUUGUAGAUGUCUGCUCUUGCCUUAUAUGACAAUUUCGUAUAUAUCUAUAUCAAACUAAAAACUUAAUUUUUUGAGUGAGCACCAUUCUGAUUGUAAGAGUGUACUGCCUUCCCUUUUGCCUCCAUUUUAGACUGGAAUUCCAAGAAAUGUUGGCACAGUUUGAACAUUGCACAGUGAUCACCGGUCAUUAGCAAUGAAUGAUUUUGUCCUGGCACUGCAGUGGGUAUGCUAAAGAGGGUGGACAAGCUGCAGGAAACCAGUUUUUCCAGUCUAGACUUCAGAUAGGUGGGAAUUAAGCAAUGGAUCACCUGAUAGAGAAACAGGUCUGCUUGUAAUAGUUCUCUGUCAUCAACCAGAACAAGAAGGCAAGACUGGGCAGGAGACGGAGUGGAGGGUCUUGAGACCCUAAAAAGACUGACCAAAACCCAAGGGGCUCUCCAAGUGGCAAGGACUCUGCAGGGAAGGUUUUUGUGUUCAGCUAUUUAUUAUUUUUGUGUGGAUCUGUAUUUCUAUUGUGCGCACUCUAUGAGUAAAAUGUGUGUAUUUGUAGAAAAUCCUUUGCAGACUCUCAGUCCCUGAUGAUGGAAACAGUAAACCAAAAGAUCCACAGUUUUGGUUGAACUCUGAGAGCUUGUAGCAGCUACUGGAGAAGCUUGGGAGAACUGGCACUAGUCUCAGGACUGGGCAAUUUCACCCUGGAUGUCCCCACCACCAAGAGGGGUGUCAAACACAAGGUCUGUACAUGGAGUGUGCGCCUAGAGGCCCAGAGCCAGAGAGACAGUGCCCAAUCUCUGCCCAGCCCUAGCAAGCCAAGAGCAUGUUAAUAAGAUUUAUGGAUAUCCAAUAGGGGGAAUGCAUCAGGAUUGUAACACCUUCCCUGUUGUCUUUGCAUUGAGAGAAUUGCUGAGGAUCUGACCCAAUACUCCUCCUUACUUUUUCAUUCUCUGAAUGCUGCCUAAUCAUUAGUAAGAAUGAGCAAGGUUAUUUUACCUGAUUUUGAACCCAAUAAAACAUUUUUGCUUUCACCUUCUAUCUAGGAGAGCACAGGAUAACUUUAUUGUUAAAAUUCCUGUGUAUUAAACACACGUUAUACAUUGUUAACAUGUAAUAAAAAAACAACUUCAGUGUAGUUUCACUGCAGUAUUAAAGAUUUCUUUCACAUUG